AGAGUAAAUCUGUUGGCGCUUUCCUAUAUGAAUGGGCAGGACCGUAGGGAAACUGAUAAUUCUACCGCCGGGGGAGUACGGCCCCAAGGUUAAAACUUAAAGAAUUUGGGGGGGAACCCCACCAGGGGUGAAUGCUGCGGUUUAAUUGAAUCCAACGUCCGAAACCUUACCGGGAGCGACGGCAGAAUGAAGGUCAAACUAAAGAUCUUACCCAACAAGCCGAGAGGAGGUGCAUGGCA
rnacentral:rRNA from 1 species